rnacentral:rRNA from 1 species
GUCCACGCCUAACGAUGGAUACUCGACAUACGCGAUAUACUGUGUGUGUCUGAGCGAAGCAUUAAGUAUCCCACCUGGGAAGUACGAUCGCAAGAUUGAACUCAAGGAAUUGACGGGGUCCGCACAAGCGGUGGAGCAUGUGGUUUAAUUCGAUGAUACGCGAGGAACCUUACCUGGGCUAGAAUGCGGUUUGACCGUAGGUGAAGCUUAUUUGUAGCAAUACACAGAUCGUAAGGUGCUGCAUGGCUGUCGU